GAUGAACGCUAGCGGCAGGCUUAACACAUGCAAGUCGAGGGGCAACACGGGUAGCAAUACCUGGUGGCGACCGGCGCAAGGGUGCGUAACGCGUGAGCAACAUGCCCUAUACAGGGGGAUAAUCCAGGGAAACUUGGUCUAAUAUCCCAUAGUAUUUAGAGGUGGCAUCACCACUAAAUUAAAGCUUCGGUGGUAUAGGAUUGGCUCGCGUGACAUUAGCUUGAUGGUGGGGUAACGGCUCACCAUGGCGAUGAUGUCUAGGGGUUCUGAGAGGAAGACCCCCCACACUGGGACUGAGACACGGCCCAGACUCCUACGGGAGGCAGCAGUGAGGAAUAUUGGACAAUGGAUGGAAAUCUGAUCCAGCCAUGCCGCGUGCAGGAAGACGGCCCUAUGGGUUGUAAACUGCUUUUAUAUGGGAGCAAUAAGGUUUACGCGUAGACCGAUGAGAGUACCAUAUGAAUAAGCAUCGGCUAACU
rnacentral:rRNA from 1 species